UGUGUGUGUGUGAGAGAGAGUGUGUGUGUGUUUGUGUGUGUGUGUGUGAGAGAGUGUGUGUGCUCAGUUCAUUCAUUUUGCUGACAGAGCAUUAACACACCUGCCACUUCACCUUUUACUAUCUAAAAAAUCUAAACACAUCUUUUUAAAAAACGUUUUAAUUUAUCGCACGAUUCAACUGAUACGAUCGAGAAUGUUCUUCAGCACACACACACACACACCCACACUCACUAGCACACAUACACCCACACAUCCACACACACUCACUAACACACACACACACCCACACACACACUCACAUGUAUGGAGCUCUGAGAUUCUCCUCAUGAGGUUGGAUUUGGGCAUCGCCUCUAACUGACUCACCGAGGAACUGAUGAUAAACCCUGAUCAAUACAGCCUCAUGAAUAAACCAUCAAUGCUCAUGAAUAUUAAUGAGAUGCUCCCUAGGCUGGACUGCGUGCAGAGAUCAGCGUUUACACGCCAAGGACGAAGGUCACGCGUGUUUAUCACACGGAGCAGCACUUUCACUUCAGACACACACACACACACACACACACACACACACACACUCACACAGACACAGACACAGAAACGAUUCAACGCUGUGUAGAAUUAGCAUCUACAGUAUCUGAAUUCAGCUGAACUCUAUACACACACGCACACACACAAUCUGAGUGAUCAGUAAAGUUCAUAUGUAGAAACAUCAUGUUAAUUCACUGCAGGUGUUAAUGCACAGCUGUAUUCAUUAAUUCUACACUGCAGGUGUUAAUGCACAGCUGUAUUCAUUAAUUCUACACUGCAGGUGUUAAUGCACAGCUGUAUUCAUUAAUUCUACACUGCAGGUGUUAAUGCACAGCUGUGUUCAUUAAUUCUACACUGCUU
ensembl:lncRNA